CAGGGCCGGCUGAGGCAUAGGGGCAAGGGGGGCGUGGGCCCAGGGCCCAAUUUUUUUUUUGCAUAAUUAGUGUUAAUAUGGGGCCUGAUUUUCAAAAAAAAAAUUUUAAAAGGGGCCCAAAAUUUUUAUGUUAUCCAUAGAGUAUAUGUAAAUUUUUUUUUGAAAAACUAUUUUGCCCAGGGGCCCAUAAUUUUCUUGAGCCGGCCCUG
rnacentral:lncRNA from 1 species